GGCUUACGCCCCCGGGCCCGCGCCCGCCGAAGACACCCUCGAACUCNGUCUGAAGAUNGUAGUNUGAGUGAAAAUAUAAAUUAUUUAAAACUUUCAACAANGGAUCUCUUGGUUCCGGCAUCGAUGAAGAACGCAGCGAANUGCGAUACGUAAUGUGAAUUGCAAAUUCAGUGAAUCAUCGAGUCUUUGAACGCACAUUGCGCCCCCUGGUAUUCCGGGGGGCAUGCCUGUCCGAGCGUCAUUUNUGCCCUCAAGCACGGCUUGUGUGUUGGGCCCCGUCNUCCGAUCCCGGGGGACGGGCCCGAAAGGCAGCGGCGGCACCGCNUCCGGUCCUCGAGNGUAUGGGGCUUUGUCACCCGCUCGUAGGCCCGGCCGGCGCUUGCCGAUCAACCCAAAUU
rnacentral:misc_RNA from 1 species